GAGUUUGAUCCUGGCUCAGGAUGAACGCUGGCGGCGUGCCUAACACAUGCAAGUCGAACGGAGAUGGUGUAAGCGGAGACUUCGGUCAAAGGUUAUAGUAUCUUAGCGGCGGACGGGUGAGUAACGCGUGGUAACCUGCCGUAUACAGGGGAUAACAACUGGAAACAGUUGCUAAAACCGCAUAAGCGCACACUGUUGCAUGACAGAGUGUGAAAAUUUCCGGAGGUAUACGAUGGACCCGCGUCUGAUUAGCCAGUUGGCAGGGUAACGGCCACCAAGGCGACGAUCAGUAGCCGACCUGAGAGGGUGGCCGGCCACAUUGGGACUGAGACACGGCCCAAACUCCUACGGGAGGCAGCAGUGGGGAAUAUUGCACAAUGGGGGAAACCCUGAUGCAGCAACGCCGCGUGAGUGAAGAAGUAUUUCGGUAUGUAAAGCUCUAUCAGCAGGGAAGAAAAAAGACGGUACCUGACUAAGAAGCCCCGGCUAACUACGUGCCAGCCGCCGCAGUAAC
rnacentral:rRNA from 1 species